rnacentral:lncRNA from 1 species
CAAGAUUUCGUAAGAUUCAUGAUAUUAUAUCAAUGAAACGUUCGAACAGGUCAAGUCUACUUGUUCUAACGGGAUAAUCAAUGCAACACGGAGGUAUGUAAACAAAAAUUCAAAUUCUCACGCAAUGCAGUCUCAUUCUCACAUAGUGACUAUAUGACAGUUAAAGAACAAAAUCAACUACCAACUUAUAAUCAAAGUUCAACACUUCAAAAAUAGGCAAAUAGCUCCUAAAUUUCUAGCACAAAUAAUAUUACCCCCUCACGGUAACCAAAAACCUAAUGCCACCCCACACGAUGACAAGCUAAUGUUGAAAUUUAAAUUGGGAUAAGCCUAUAUAUUAGAGCAGACCAAUCUGAGUCCGUAAAUUUUGAGAGAAGCGAAUUUAUCACUUUAGGACCAUCACUAUUCGUCUUAAAGUCUCUAGUAACUGCAGCAACCAACAAAUCACGAUCGAAUCUUGGUUGUCCAAAGAGCAACUUUGCCCAGAUUCUACUGCACAACCUGAAACAAAAAACUUUCAACACAGAAAUGUCAGAAAAUAUCACUAGGAACAAACUCCCUGAAGAGAUCGUUAUCCGAAAACUAGCUACGUACCCUCACAUACGGCUACUUUUCCUAUGCGUGGUCCUCAUGCGCCGGUCAUCCUAGAUUGCCACCACCUGUACGUCACACUAGUGGUCUGCAUUUUUCAAAACUCCUUCUGGAUUGGUCAGAAAACACGAAACAGGGGCUGAUUUUUGACAGUUUUCUAGACAAUUUUUCGAUUCGAUUUCUGCUUUGUUUCAGUUGACUUUCUAGACUUUUUUUUGGUAUGUUUCACAAGCCAAAAUCACAAACUUGAAGCUCUUGUACCAGAUGUUACGGAAGCUCUCUCCAAGGAUCUUCAAAUCAGUGGUUUUUCGAACUCAGUCCAAUGUAUCUUUCUCUACCAACAACCAAACCAACCGGCUUCGAUCCACAACUAAUAUAAUUCACCUCGAUUUCUAUUCAAUCUUACCCACAAAGGAUAAGAAACGGUGAUGAUUUGUAGCCACAAAGGUAAGGAGAAAGCAUAAAAAGGUAAGCUAUGAAGGAACCACCAAUUACAUAAAAUAAACGAGCGUUUUGAAUACUUCUAGGGGCUUGUUUCAUACACUUCAAGGGGCAGUCGGGACUCUCCUUUUCUCACACAAAAACCAUACAAAUCAUACUAGAAAUUGGCUAGGGUUUAUUCCUUAUAAAUAUCCUAGGGUUAGGCUUUUAAUUGGAUCAUUAAGAAAGGUAAACAUGCUAAGAUUCAAGCCAUCCAAAAGGGAAUACAAUUGGACCGGGUGGAGCUCAUGGACUUAGUUGUUGGACUUAUUUCAUUCAUCGGCCUAUACCUAUGAAAUAAUUAACUCAUGUUAACAUCACAGCCCGAGAUUUAUUAGGUGUGAAAAAUCAAAAAAUAUUCUCAAUUCUUAUUAGAAGAUUAAUAUGGAAGCAUGCCCUCCUUAUUUUGGUACAUUACAUAGGUCUUAUUAUCUCGCAUUGCGUUGAAUAUUUUGGUUAUUACAGUAAUUCUUGCUAUAAGGUGAGAAAUUUUCUGUUAGUGUUUUGUAAAGCUUGUUAUCUAAGUUUAUACCUUCUUGCUUGGAACUUUCAAGUCUACAUUUAAGGGGGGCAUGUUUAAGAUCAUGCCAACAUAGUUUUGGUCCUAGUUUCUUGUUAAGUACUUGUUGGCCUCGCAAAUUGGACCCUCCAUGUGGCCAAUCGAUAGCUACUCCACGUAUUCCUCCCUGCGCACAAUCAACGCACGGUCAAAUGUACACGGCCGGAACCAACGGGGGCGGCGGCGUCGCAUACACUCCGACAGUUAAGUUAGCUCAUGGUGAUCCGAACAGUGCCAAGGUUGUGGAAAAAGGGCGGGGAGGAGAAUAUAUAUUUGCUUGUUAUGCAGAGCUAAGUUGUAAGAAUUUCAUUACCUUUGCCUCUUGUCAAACCUUGGGUAUUUAUAGUUGAGGAGAACCGUUGGAUGUGGGACAUGUGUAUGUAUCUGACAGUGUGAGGCAUCUGCUCAUAGGCAUCAAUCAGCUGCGUCUAUAGAGUUUGGGGGUAAUUACUUCUCCCGAAUUGAGUUGACAUAAAGUUGAUACGUCACAUCAACUAGGCUCAUGGAGAUGUCAAAUGAAUUAAACCUUGGGGACAGAAAGGAUCUUGACACAGAUCUCUUUCUAGAAUUAGCGGCGUAUCCUCUGAAGAGAACCUUGGAAUGUACUUCACCUCGGCUUCAGGGACAAGGACGCUUCGGUUGGUUCAGUAGAUUGUCUGUGCCUCGCAGUGCGUUAGCAGAUUGACAACAUUGGUGGUGGCGUCACUUCGAAACCACUUCGGAUGGGUAUUGAACACCUCGUAUAAUGCGGUGGUAGACUUUUCGAAGUGGUUCAGAUAGGGGCGUAACAGUGGUCCACCCAAGUUUAGGCAUGAAUAUUUAUAUCAUGGGUGGACUUGUUUUUCCCAUCGGGUAUGUCUGCCUCGGGAUAAGGACCGUGAUUUGUGAAAACUUGUCAAUCAGUUUUCUGUGUUCACCGAAGCAUUGACCUCAGGCAAACGUGCUAAAGCUUCAUUACUGCGUAAGGAAAGAACUUAUCCGAGACCGAUGUGCUGCCAACUGGAUGAUGCGUCAGGAGACGACCGAAGUUUUGUAAAGCUUAGGAGGAAACGUAGCUACCGAAGCGAUGACCUACAGGGGACUCCACGUCAGGUGCGUCUAAGCUUCGUAAAGCUGAAUGAGGAGCUCAUCUGCCAUCGGUGUGCUGACCCACAGGGGACGACGCGUUGGGAGAUAGCUAAAGCUUUGUAAAGCUUAGGAGGGAACGCAGCUACCGAGGCUAUGACCCACAGGGACUCCACGUCAGGUGCGUCUAAGCUUCGUAAAGCUGAGUGAGGAGCUCAUCUGCCAUCGGUACGCUGACCCACAGGGGACGACGCAUUAGGAGAUGGCUAAAGCUUUGUAAAACUUAAGAGGGAACGCAGCUAUCGAGACGAUGACCCACCGGGGACUCCGUGUCAGGUGUGUCUAAACUUUGUAAAACUGAGUUAGAAGCUCAUCUACCACCGGUGCGCUGAUCCACAGGGGACGACGCGUUGGGAGAUAACUAAAGCUUUGUAAAGCUUAGGAGGGAAAGUAGCUACCGAGGCGAUGAUCCACAGGGGAUUCCACGUUUGGUGUGUUUAAGCUUUCUAAAGCUGAGUGAAGAGCUCGAUCUGAGGUAGGCAUCUCUGACGUUAAAUGAUUUGACAGCUGUCGCGUAUUUCCAAGGUGACAGUUGGGUAUGACGCCCAUUCCCCUAAAAGGCUACUGCGACUAUUUAUUGUAGACGACCGAUGGUGAUCAAGUCGACACUUUUUAUGCUAGUUAAGGGGCACAGCCAGAUCUUAAGCGUAGAUCAAAUCUGGCAUUUCAUUUUAACAGCCUAGAUUGAUGAUGCGACAGACGACCUUGAUUGAUUGCAUUUGAAUUGAACGGUGGGGAUUAGCUGGGUCGCUCUAUAAAAGGUGGACUUGAGCAUUUGGGUAGUUUUUCACUUUUGCAAAAUCAGAAACUUCCUUUGCUCUAAAAAAUCUUGCACUUUUCCGCAUUCGUCAAGCAUUUUUCGGUGAGAAAUUCCAAUUUUCGGUGACUCUACAGACUCUGCUAAUCAUUUUUGGCUGUGGAACUCCAAAUUUCGUGAGUUUCAGUAAGUGUUUGAAACCCUUUCAUUUCUGAAAAAUGGCUUUUGAGGGUAGUGGUAGCUCGGGGAGGGGGUUGGAACUAGUGCGGAUGGACGAGCCCAUUCUGGCGAUUUCCUCCGAAAUAGCCGAAGCGAUAAUUGGAGGAGAACAUAUGGAAGAGGCUAGAUAGCCCCAUAGACACAUUAGUACAUUGGGGAGCUUCGGAUUACCCCUCUAAGCUAAAGGGUGCUGACCUGGAAAGACUUAGGGCUGAAUAUAGGAUCCCUGAUAGCGUAGAUAUGAUCCUGCCCAAACAUGAUGAGCGGGCCUGCUACCCUAGGCCAGGGUACGUAGAAAUUAGUGAGGCUAUUCUUAGGGUUAGCCUCAGGCUUCCGAUCCACCCAUUCUUCCGUAUGGUACUUAGGUCGUAUGACUUAGCUCCUACCCAAUUGAACCCAAACUCGGAGCCAAAUAGUGGGCUCCUGGAUGUUGUGGAAGGAGGCGUCGCUUGGGGUAGAGAUGCCCUUCUCUAUUUUUUAGACCCUCUAUAUCUCCAAGGUGGCGACUGGGUGGGGAUAAGACCAGGGGCUGGUUUACCUGACCUCAUGGGGUUCCUACACUCCAUUCGUGCUUGAUCUACCGAGCUCUAUUAAGGAGUGAAAGAGCUCGUGGUGUUGGGCUAUCGGGAGAUGGGAAAGGAUGGAGGGGACCCCCUGGCGCCUCUUAUGGUCCCCAUGAAGUAUUCAACACUUAGUGAAAAACUGUUGUUUUACGUUUUCCCUUGUUCGUCUUCGGUUCGGAUCAUAACUAAUAUUUGUGUUCUUUUGAAGGCACUCUUCCUUAGUGUAAGCUUUCCAUCGAAACUUUGACAUCAUCUGCAUUAUCUAUCAGCUACCUCCAAAGAAGAGAUCAUACCACCAGCUGAUCAGGAAAAGCAUCCACUUCGUGAUGCAAAACUUGAUGGCCUCUCAAGGUAAAUGUUCCAAAGCGAAUGCCUUUCAGUACUUUCCGAACUCUUUACACUUGUACUAAUUUGCUUGUUCCCUUGUAGAUUACUUUAACAAGAAGCUGCCUCUGAGGCCAGACUUCAAAACCAUCCAGAAGAUGAUGGCAAAGGCGAGAGCCCUGAAGACCUCCUCCUCGGCGUAUAAGAAGCAGAUGGAGGAUCUGAUGGAUGCCAGCAAAAGGCUCCAGCCUCCAACCGAGGAGGAGGUGGUGGAAGACCAAGACGCAAACCUACUGCAGAAGGGCAAGAAGCCUGCUGUCCCCAUCGAAGCACCCAACUGUGGCGAGGCCACCUCCGAUUUUGAGGCAGAUUACCAUUCCUACUGGGGUAGCCAUCCCGAGCGGGCGCCUGCACCAUCAGAGGCUUCUCCUACCCCAACGACAUCACUAGUAGCCGCUGUGCCAAUUGCCCAAGUGCUUGGGUAGCCAAAGAGGAAAAGAGCCCGUCCCUCAAAGGAGGUAAACUUUUUGGGCACCAAUUCACAGGAGCUAGUAAAAGAAGUAUUGGAGGCUCUUCCUCCUGAGACGGUGACAGUGGUGAUGGUCCAAAAUAAAUAUUGGACCGAAGAGUGGAGAGACCACACCGCCUCAUGCACUGCCGAAGACUUGGUCUUGGCGAACAGUGCUUGCAUGGCCCUGGCUCUCAACACGAGUAUCCAACUCAAAGGCUUGGUGAAAGACCUGAAUGCUAAGAUGGAAGACCUCGCCAAGCGCCUCAAGGAGGCGAUGCAGUAUCGAGACGCAGUGAGAGAGGCUCGAGCUAAGGCCUCGGAAGAGGAGAAGGCGAGGAAGGAAGCCAAGGCUCAGCUGGCCACUGCCAAGGGAGAAAUAGAGUGGCUGAAGAAGGAGCUCUAUGAAGUGGAGUGCCAUGUGGCUGCUAUCACCAGGAGAGUGGAUCAUGCAAACGAGCACCAUCGACUCGCCACGGAGGCUCUGGAGGCUACAAAUAAAGAAAAGAUAAAGCUGAGGCAGAGGGCAGAUGCCCAAGCUGAGGAGAUCGCCUCCCUGAGGGAGGAGCUUAAGUCGAUACGGAAGGUAGCUGUGCAGAACUUCAUCGACCACUUCGAAGAACAUCCCCUGUACGAUGAUUUUGCAAACUUUUGGGCCUCUUGGAGUGCCCAAGGACUAUUGGGUUGGCUGAAAGAGGUCCACCCCACUCUGGACAUAUCCUCAUUAGAAGCAGAGUUCAAUGGACGUACUGGAGGUCGGCCUGAUAGGUUCGUAGAGGACGCUCCAGAGGCCCAUGGGACAGGCGAGGUGGAGUUCGGGGUGGAAGAUGUCCCAAUAGAAUAGAGUUAAUCAAUCUUUGUAAUGGCUUUGGCCUCUUUUGUAAUCCAAUUCCAAAUGAAUGAAAUGAAAAAUUUUUGUCAAGUAUUAUUGCUUUUGCUUUUCUAUUGUGUUGAGCUGUUUACAUUUAAGAAUAUGAAUGACAACCACUUAAGCAAACAUUAAGUGCCUCUUACCAAUAACCAGUUAAUAACAGAAGAUCGGAUGAAUUAACGUAUUGAAGAACUGAGGUAACAAUUUACUAAUCGAUGUGACAAAUAACUAAAGUAUCAUUCAUUACUUAGAGGAGUUAUAUCACUCUUCACUAAGGCAUUUUCAGCACUUAGUAAGAUAGGGAAGUUACAAAUGAGAUUGGAUCAAAACACAAGCUCCUAAUUGAUAGUACUUCCUCAAAUGUUCAAUGUUCCAUUGAUGAGGCAGUGCUUUCCCUGUCAUGUCUUCAAUUUUAAAAGUGCCAGGUCAAAAUUCCCUAUGGAUGUGGUAAGGACCCUCCUAAUUCGGUCCCAACACUCAGGACCCAGUUGGCUUUGAUGAUUGGAAUACCCUUCUAAGGACGAGGUCUCCCAAACGAAGAGUCUGAUUUCUGACCUUGGAGUUAUAAUAGCGGGUCAUCUUUCUAUGAUACUUUGCCAAAUUCACCUGGGAGGUAUCCUUCCUUUCUUCAAGGAGGUGGAGUUCGCUCAUUCGAGCCUCGUCGUUACCGAUCUCAUUGAAGUGUAUUCGACGGUGCGAUGGGACUCCUACCUCAGCCGGGCUCAUGGCCUCGGCUCCGUAGGUCAUUGAGAAGGGUGUCUCCCCUGUUGCGGUUCGGUUAGUUGUUCUGAUGGCCCAGAGGAUGUGGGGAAGCUUAUCGACCCAAGCCCCCUUGAAGGUGUCAAGCUUCCCUUUCAGGGUAUGCUUGAUAGUCUUAUUUACUGCCUCAACUUGCCCAUUUGCUUGUGGGUGAUGAGGUGUUGAGAAAUCAUUCUUUAUGCCCAGUUCGUCGCAUAAAUCUCGCAUUUUCUUAUUGUUGAACUGUCUCCCAUUGUCGGACACUAAGGAGUGGAGAAUGUCGAACCUGCAAAUGAUGUUCUUCUAGAUGGAUUUUAUAGUAUUCGUCUCGAUGAUCUUGGCAAGAAGUUCAGUUUUGACCUACUUAGUGAAGUAGUCAAUGGCGACAAUGGCGAAAGUCGUGCUUUCUCUUCCUUUUGGGAGUGGACCAAUGAAAUCGAUGCCCCAUUUGGCGAACGACCAAGGGCUGGUUACUACAGAGAGGCUUUGAGAAAGUUGUCUUUGAAUAUUUGAGAAGCGUUGGCACUUGUCACAUUUCUGGACAAAAUGACAAGCAUCCAUUUUCAGGGUCGGCCAGAAGUAGCCUUGUAGGAGUACUUUGUGUGCCAAAGCUGUUCCUCCGGAAAGUGAUUCCCGCAGAUUUCCUCAUGGAUUUUCCUGAGUAUAUACAUGGCCUCUUCGCCUCCUACACAUCGGAGAAGUGGCGAGGCGAAGCCUCUUUUGUAGAGGACAUCUUCUUCUAGGACGAAGUAUGCAGCCCUUCUCCUUAACUUCCUUGCCUCGCUUCUAGAAGCUGGUAGUGAAUGAUCCUUUAGAUAGGCGAUGAUGGGUUGCAUCCAUAAUGGGGUGCCUUCUUUCCAUAGCACGUCAUCACCUCCGGAUAUGGAGGGCUUCGACAAGUGUUCAAUGGGGCAACCUUUAGUAGCUCUGAAUCCUUACUGCUGGCCAGUUUUAACAGGGCAUCUGCAUGAGUAUUCUCUAGGCGUGGGACUUGAAUCGGCUCGAACCUUUCAAAAUGAGAAACUAGGUCCAGAACCAAUUUUAAGUAUGCAACCAUGCUACUGUCCUUGGCCGCGAAGUUUCCAUUGACCUAACUCACUACAAGCUGAGAAUCACUACUUACCUAGAGCCAUCUGACCUGCAUUUCCUUUGCAAGUCUAAGGCCUGCUAGAAGGGCCUCAUAUUCAGCAGUGUUGUUCGAGGCUUUGAAGUCGAACCUUACUGCGCAAUUUAGCUUGUAGCCUUCGGGGCUUUCCAAGACGAUCCCUGCCCUGGAGCUAGCCUUUUCUGAGGAUCCAUCUACGUACAGUUUCCACGUUGGGGGCUCGGUUGGUUCCAUUAUCGCCUCCAUUUCUGGGGCUUUAGCAAACUUAGCCACAAAAUUUGGAAGGGUCUGGCCCUUGAUGGCAUGUUGAGGUCGAAACAGUAGGUCGAACUUACUGAGCUCGAUCGCCCAUUUUAGCAGGCGUCCUGAUGCAUCUGUUCUCUGUAGCACUUGCUUCAAUGGGAAGUUGGUGUGAACUUCAAUUGAGUGGGCCUGGAAGUAUGGCCUCAGUUUCCUUGAGGUUGUGAUGAGGGUAAGUGCCAAUUUCUCCAUGUCUAGGUAGCGUGUCUCAGUUGGGAGGAGUGCUUUACUGACAUAGUAUACCGGCAACUGGUCCUUAUUCUCUUCUCUGACUAGGACUGCACUGAUCGCCUCGUCUGAGACCUCCAAGUACAGGAGUAGUGAUUUUUUUGGUUGAGGUUUGGAUAUAGGGGCGCUCUCCUAAGUGCCUCUUGAGAAUUGGAAGGCUUCUUCACACUCAAAAGUCCAUUGAAACUUCUUUCCUUACUUCAGCACAUUGAAAAAGGGUAAGUUCUUAUCUGUAGCCUUGGAGAUGAAGCGACUGAGUGCGGCUAUCCGACCAUUAAGGCUUUGGACCUCCUUUGGUUUCUGGGGUAACCUCAUUUCAAGCAAAGCCAUUAUCUUCACUGGGUUCGCUUCAAUUCCUCUUUGGUUUACAAUAUAUCCCAAAAACUGACCCAAAGCCACUCCAAAGGUGCACUUGAGAAGAUUCAACUUCAUUUUAUAUUUUCUAAGUAUCUGAAAUGUUUGGUCGAGGUGACUUACGUGUUUGUUUGCCUAGAGGCUUUUUACUAGCAUGUGGUCAACGUAGACCUCCAUAGCUUUGCCAAUGAGUUUGGCAAACAUCAUGUUGACCAGCCUCUGAUAUGUAGCUCCGGCAUUUUUCAAUCCGAAGGGCAUGACUUUGUAGCAGUACAGUCCUUUGUCUGUGAUGAAUGAUGUAGCCUCCUCAUCAGGUCGGAACAUGGGUAUUUAGUUGUACCCUGAUUAUGCAUCAAUGAAGCUCAAAAAUUCAUGUCCAGCGGUGGAAUCCACAAAUUGGUCUAUCCUUGGAAGUGGGAAGCUGUCUUUAGGGUAUGCCUUAUUCAAGUUUGUGAAGUCUAUGCACACCCUCCACUUUUCGCUAGGCUUCUUCACCGGGACUGGGUUGGAUAUCCACUUCGGAUAGAUGGCUUCUCUGAUGAAGUCGCUGUGGCUAAGCUUGUCUACUUCAUCUUUGAGUGCCUCGUACCGCUUCGGGUUGAGAGCAUGUCUUUUCUAUCGAUGUUGGGUACAAGAGGAGUUGAUGUUAAGAUGAUGGCAACUAAUCCUUGGAUCUAUUCCUACCAUGUCUUCAUGCUUCCAAGCGAAGACAUCCAAGUUUCUUUUUAGGAAGCUCACCAUUUCUUCUUUUACAUCGAGGGACAAUACCUUCCCUAUUCGCAAGACCUGAUUGGGGUCCUCUGGGUUGGUGGAGAAAGUUUCAAGUUCUUCCAUUGGGGUUGCAUUUGGCUCAGAGUCAAUUAUCCGGGGAUCUAACUCAUCAAGAGGGUGCUCUUCUUCAGGAGCCUUUUCCAUGUUGACGUCUUUCUCCUGUUCGGAGGUAUGCCCUUGUUCAGGACCGUCAAGUAUUUUCACAUCCAAAUUGGCCUCAUCGAUAACUUCAGUUAUGAUCACGUUAACAGUUCAGGGAUCCAAUUUUCGCAGAGAGUUUAAGUAACAUACCCCGAAGCCCAUCUGAUCGCCUCAGACCGUAGCAAUUUCAUGUUCAAUUGGAAAUUUCAUACACAAGUAGUGGAUGGAGGUGACAGCCCAAAGAUCUUUCAAGGCGGGUCUGCCUAAUACUCCAUGGUAGGCCAAUCCGUGGUCUACCACUAAGAAUUUCAUGAAGUGUCGGGCCACUAGGGGAGCCGAACCCAUCUCAACGGGCAGAGUGAUCCGCCCUCGUGGGACAAUGCUGUUUCUAGUAAAUUCGAAUAGUGGGUCGGUCAUGGGGACCAGCCCAUGUUAAAUUUGCAUUUUGUCGAAGGUGGAGCCGAGUAGUAUAUUCACCGAACUGCCAUUGUCGACGAGCAUGUGUUUGAGUUCGUUUCUUGCCACUAUGGCUCUCAUAACCAAUGUGUCACAAUGGGGGUGGUGAACUCCUUAUGCAUUUUACUGGGAGAAGGUAAUUGGGGCCAUCAUGUUGGCCUAUUGGGACUCGUUGACAAUGUAAGUGAGUAUUGGCGGGUCCUUUGCUUCCCUUAUGUAAUUCCUUUGGGCGUUCCUGAUGUUGCCGCCGAGUGAGGUUCCCCAAUGAUUGUAUCAAUUUCCCUUAUGAUUUGGCCUCUAGAAAAUGGGGCUUGAUUUCUCUGUCCGGACUCUCCUCUUCAUCGGCCUGUUUGGGGAGACAGAUCUCCGGGGAUGUUCAUCCUUCCUGGAGGAGUGUGGUUUAUUCCGAUCUGAGCCUUGCGGGGUGUCUUUGCAUUCGCUGGUGUCAUGUCUAUAGAGUUGGUGGAAGUUGCAGAAACUUGCCCCUUCCAAGGGCCUGUUUGACCGCUUCUUCUUCUUCUUUUUAUUACUAUCAGAUCCUCCAGAUGGCCCUACUUUGCCAGGGGAAUUCUCGUAUGCCAAUACCGGCACUGCAUUUAGCGUGGCAGAAGCCAGUGCUUGUUCGGAGGUGGGACCUAUUGUAUGACCUGCUUGAGUCCAUUGCUGAGUGACAAGGUGCGCUGUGGGUCCUCAACCUACCUACCUUUGAGACAGAGGGAGUCCCCGUACUGCAUGGUUUCGAUAAUCAAUCAUCUCUUCACUGACGAUCUCAACUCUCAUCAUUUCUACCAGCUCGUCAUAAGUGGAGGGAUUUUUGCUGAGCACAUCCCUCCAGAAUAAAGUGUUCAUGUUGAGGUCGCCUUUCAGAGCUGAAAGGGCUUCUCUGUUAGUGACCUACUCGCAGUACGUGAUUUCGUCUAUAAACCUGGUGAGAUAGCUUUUCAGCGUCUCUCCAGGGGCCUGUCUUAUACCUUGCAGGCAUUGCACUAGGACCUCUCCUUCUCUGCAUGAGAGGUACUGGUUCAAAAAUGCCUUCUUUAAAUCUGGCCAACUCUUAAUGCUCAGGGGAGGAAGUCUGCUGUACCACACUUCAGCAGCUUCGCCCAGGGUUAGGUGGAAGGCUCUGCAUUUCAAAGUAGGCGAGGCUCCCAUGAGGCUUAUCUGUGUCAUGUACUUGGUGAGGUUCUUCUUCGGGUUCCCCUUUCCUUCAUACUUGGGGAUCUUAGGAGGCAUGAAAUUCGCAGGCAUUGGGAAGUUUCGAAUUUCCCUUGAGAAAGGGAGGUUAUCAUCAUCAUCGUCAAUUUCAUAGGAUCGACAAGGCCCAUCUGACCCUUCAUCAUCUUGAAUGUUCUGGGGAGGUGGAGGUGCUUCUCCUCGACUGCCCCAAUCAACUAAGUCCCUUCUUUCCUUCCUAUUUCUAGGAGGAGGAGGUGCUUGUUCUUGCUCCUGUUCUUGCCAAACUGAUCUUCGUACUGAGUGGACCCUAUUACUAGGGUCCUACCCCAUUUGGUUGAAGACACUGAUUGACCUUUGUGCUUCAUAUCCUUGAGGAAAAUUGUACCCCAAUUGUUGUUCUGCUGGCUGGCUCUCUUGCACAUAGGAUGUGGCUUUUGCACCCACUUCUCUUUCGAAGGGGCAUUCUCUGUGCUGGCUCACAUGGCCUCGGGAACGAGACGCAGGGGUUUCCUAAACUGGGAAGAUCCUUGGGGCAUUUGAGAGCCCUGGUGACCUCGAGCUUGCAUGAGAAGUUCAUGCAUCGCCAUAUUAUGGGCUGCGAUGUCUCUCAUGCCCGCAGCUAUUUGAGCCAUUCCUUCAGUAAGUAUGGUUGUUUUUUCACCUCGGUUACGCCGGUGAUGUGGUCUCUGGUGAGUGACAUUGUUACGGAGCACCUCUUUUUCAGAGGCCUCUCUCAUAGGGUUCUCGUCUUCAUGGCUGGAACUCUUCUUAUAUCUUUUUUCAAGGGUGAUAAGAACUUGAAUUAUAACUCAACUUUGCUCUUUUUCAAGAACGUGCCCUUUUCAGGGUAAGUCACUAGUUUUCCGGUGGUUUCUCUGAUGGAGAAUGCAAAACUUUGGAUGGGAAGUUUCCCACAGAUAGCGUCAAUUUGUUGACCUCGCAAAUUGGACCCUCCACGUGGCCAACCGAUAGCUACUCCACGUAUUCAUCCCUGCUCACAAUCAAUGCAUGGUCAGAUGCACACAGCCGGAACCAACGAGGGUGGCAGCGGCCGCAUACACUCCGACGAUCAAGUUAGCUCCUGGUGAUCGGAAUAGUGCCAAGGUUGUGCAAAAAGGGUGGGGAGGAGAAUAUAUAUUUGUUUGUUAUGAAGUGUUAAGUUGUAAGAGUUUCAUUAUCUUUGCCUCUAGUCAAACCUUGGGUAUUUAUAGUUGAGGAGAACCGUUGGAUGUGGAACACGUGUAUGCAUCUGACGAUGUGAGGCGUCUGCUCAUAGGCGUCAAUCAGCUGCGUCUAUAGAGUGGGCGGGUAAUUACAUCUCCCAAAUUGAGUUGACAUAAAAUUGAUACGUCACAUCAACUAAGCUCAUGGAAACGUCAAAUCAAUUAAACCUUGGGGUCAGAAAGGAUCUUGACACGGAUCUCUUUCUGAAAUUGGCCGUGUAUCCUCUGACAGAGAACCUCGGAAUGUACUGCGCCUCGACUUCAGGGGCGAGAGGCUUCGAUCGGAUCAGUAGAUUGUCUGUGCCUCACAGUGCGUUAGCAAAUCGACAACAUUAGUGGUGACGUCACUUCGAAACCACUUCGGAUGGGUGUUGAACACCUCGUAUAAUGCGGUGGUAAACUUUUCGAAGUGGUUCAGAUAGGGGCGUAACAGUAUUGUCAAUAAAGGAUGUUUUAGUUGCGUGUUUCCUGCAACAACUUUAUUGGGAUGUUCGGGGAAGCUCGAGUCAAUAAGAUAAUUUACUCCUCGUUCUUCAUAUGCCUAUCGACUGUAUUUCGAUGUUUGGCUUCCUCAACUUAAUGGGAUAGCUUGCUAAAUUUUUUUGCAGAUGAAACUGUUUUUAACUGAAACAGAUGCUACAAUUUGGUCUAAAACACUGCCAAUGGGCUGCAAAGAAUCAACAUAAUGUUUUGUACUAUCUGCCUAAUGACAACAGUAAUUUCUUCCUUAUUCAGUUUCUAAUUUGGCUUCAUUACUUAUGUUCACAGCCUUAAGCGUGUAUUUUUCUAGGAGUGACACUUUAUAAAAACUAGGGAUGGCAAUAAGAGGGGUUCGAGUCUGAGCGGGUUCUCCCUUCCCCGUCCCAUCAGGCAAUUUCUCGUCCCGUUACCCGUUUAAAGCGGGGAUCGUUUGCAUACCUCUUUUUUUAAUAAUUCAUUUUAUUACCCACAUUCAUUAAAGUGAGACAAUACUAUAGUUAUUGAAGUUUUUAAUUAAUUUAUUUAUUUUUAAAAGUUAAAUUAUUCGAACACAUUUGGUAAACUAAGGUCUUUAUUAUUUAUCAUAUUUUUUAGAUAAUCUUAGUUGUCAUCUUCUAUUAGAAUUAAUGAAAUUUCAUGGAGUUUUUUUAUUUAAAGUAUUGAAUUCUUAACAACAAAAAAUUAAACGGGAUGAGAUGGGGCAGGUAUGGGUGGCAGGUAUUACCCAUACUUGCCUCGAGGCGAAAUUCCCCUACACAAACCUGACCCAAAUGCCUAAUUAAUCAGUAAUCCCUGCCUCGUUCAGGACAUGGCCGCGAGUAUCAGGCUUGAAGAAUUUUUUUGCCAUUUCUAAAUAGGUUAAAUUUCACGUCUAAUAAAGAUGUAAAAUAAAAGGGUCCGAACUACUACUCACAAGAAUUAGUUAUUCCUCACUCGUCCUCCACCUUGCAUUUCUAGCCUCCCUCGUUUGUUUGCAUCCCAACCUUCCUUUACCGACGCCGCUCCCCCAAAUUCCUUUGUCCACUAUCCCUCUGCUUGAGUGAUUCGCGAUGUUAGAGCAGGUGAUUUUUGGGGGAGGAAAGAGAAAGAUGGAAGGAAAUGAGAGGAGGGAAUACUAAAAUGGGGAGAUGAAAAUAAGGGAUGUAAUCAUUUCAAUAAUCAAGCAUUUUUCAUCACCCCACACAAGUGGGAUAGUUGUGAAUAAAAUGUUGUG